CUUCGGGUGAAGGUGGCGGACGGGUGAGUAACGCGUAAAGAACUUGCCUUACAGACUGGGACAACAUUUGGAAACGAAUGCUAAUACCGGAUAUUAUGAUUGGGUCGCAUGAUCUGGUUAUGAAAGCUAUAUGCGCUGUGAGAGAGCUUUGCGUCCCAUUAGUUAGUUGGUGAGGUAACGGCUCACCAAGACGAUGAUGGGUAGCCGGCCUGAGAGGGUGAACGGCCACAAGGGGACUGAGACACGGCCCUUACUCCUACGGGAGGCAGCAGUGGGGAAUAUUGGACAAUGGACCAAAAGUCUGAUCCAGCAAUUCUGUGUGCACGAAGAAGUUUUUCGGAAUGUAAAGUGCUUUCAGUUGGGAAGAAGUCAGUGACGGUACCAACAGAAGAAGCGACGGCUAAAUACGUGCCAGCAGCCGCGGUAAUACGUAUGUCGCAAGCGUUAUCCGGAUUUAUUGGGCGUAAAGCGCGUCUAGGCGGCUUAGUAAGUCUGAUGUGAAAAUGCGGGGCUCAACCCCGUAUUGCGUUGGAAACUGCUAAACUAGAGUACUGGAGAGGUAGGCGGAACUACAAGUGUAGAGGUGAAAUUCGUAGAUAUUUGUAGGAAUGCCGAUGGGGAAGCCAGCCUACUGGACAGAUACUGACGCUAAAGCGCGAAA
rnacentral:rRNA from 1 species